GAUGAGUUUAAUACUUUUACUCCGAUACAUUUUUUAUGUGCUGCAUCGUUACUCGUUACUGUUGUGAAUUCCUCACGCUACGGAGACUGUGGAGUUACGGCUACGUUAGUUACGGCUACGUUAGUUACGUACGAAAUCCCAGAGAUUGCGUCAUGUUUCUUUUCAUUACGGUUGCCUGUUCAGAAGUCAGAGACAAUGUAAGUUUGUACUCUUUCUAUUUAGCUAUUGUUGCAGCAGAUUAAACUAUUCCUGAGUUGUUUCAGUCUGCAGUGAGUCCUGAAUGUUAACCGUUUCACCCUGUGAUGUGAAGCUGCUAGUUUAUCUGUAUUUUGCUAGCUUGCUAACUUUCCACUACAUCACACAUUUUAUUUCAGUAUUUGUUAAUAAGUGAUUAAUAACCCACUGUUAUAUCAGAUAAUAGUAGUUAUAACAGCUGUGACAUUAAUGUACAUUUUGGGGUUUAAAUUAGAAACUUCCUUCAUAUCCAGCAAUGUACAGCUUGUGACUGCCUUAACACCAAGUAAAAAGUUGAACUCCAACAAUAUGAUAUUCAAA